rnacentral:rRNA from 1 species
GAUGAACGCUGACAGAAUGCUUAACACAUGCAAGUCAACUGUGGCGGACGGGUGAGUAACGCGUAAAGAACUUGCCUCUCAGUUAGGGACAACAUUUGGAAACGAAUGCUAAUACCUGAUACUGUGAGAGAGCUUGGCGUCCCAUUAGCUAGUUGGAGAGGUAACGGCUCACCAAGGCGAGGAUGGGUAGCCGGCCUGAGAGGGUGAUCGGCCACAAGGGGACUGAGAGACGACCCGUAGGCAUACGGGAGGCAUGGGUGGGGAACAUUUGACAAUAGACCAAAGUCUGAUCAAGCAAUUCUGUGUGCACAAUGAAGUUGUCGGAAUGUAAAGUGAUUUCAGUAGAGGAGCGGUACCAACAGAAGAAGUGACGGCUAAAUACGUGCCAGCAGCCGCGGUAAUAC